AACGAACGCUGGCGGCAGGCCUAACACAUGCAAGUCGAGCGAGGACUUCGGUUCUAGCGGCGGACGGGUGAGUAACGCGUGGGAAUGUGCCCUUCUCUACGGAAUAGCUCUGGGAAACUGGGAGUAAUACCGUAUACGCCCUAUUGGGGAAAGAUUUAUCGGAGAAGGAUCAGCCCGCGUUGGAUUAGGUAGUUGGUGGGGUAAUGGCCUACCAAGCCGUCGAUUCAUAGCUGGUUAGAGAGGAUGGUCAGCAACACUGAGAGGGAGACGCGGCCCGGACUCCUACGGGAGGCAGGAGUGGGGGAUCUUAGAAAAUGGGGGCAACCAUGAUGGAGCCAUGCCGCGUGAGUGAUGAAAGCCUUAGGGUAGUAAAGCUCUUUCAGCUGGGAAGAUAAUGACGGUACCAGCAGAAGAAGCCCCGGCUAACUCCGUG
rnacentral:rRNA from 1 species